AAUGCCCAUGCUGAAAAUAAUCUUGCCAUGCAGCAAGAUGGUCCUGAACCAAGUUUACGACUUCACCAAGUCACUAAGCAGAAUGCUCAUGCUCAAAAUAGCAAUGCAACCAAGCCAUGUGGUCAUCACCAAGUCACUAAGCAGGUAAAAAUAGUUAAGCCAACUCCUCCAGCACAACCACAAAGCAUUGGGCAGUGAGGAUUUGAAAAGUGAGUGCAUUAAAGGAGCUAGGAGUGGCUGGGUAGUUGAGGAUUUGAAAAGGGAGUGCACUGGAGGAGUCAUGAGCAGUUGAUGAAUCUAUCUUUGAAUGAACAAAUAUUCUGGAUUAUGUAUAGAUUUUAGCUUCAUAGAGAAAAAUAGUUCUUGUCUAUAGGAUAUUUUCUUAUUUAUUUUCAUCAUUGCAUGUUUCAUAUGAAUGUUUGAUAUUAUUCAGCUGUGAACUCCACGUACUUUUAGUGGAGACAUUGUUCGUGCUAAUUAAUGCAUUUGAUGUUGUUAC